rnacentral:rRNA from 1 species
GAGCUGUAAGUAAGCUUUGAUCCAGAGAUUUCCGAAUGGGGAAACCCAGCAUGAGUUAUGUCAUGUUAUCGAUAUGUGAAUACAUAGCAUAUCAGAAGGCACACCCGGAGAACUGAAACAUCUUAGUACCCGGAGGAAGAGAAAGAAAAUUCGAUUCCCUUAGUAGCGGCGAGCGAAACGGGAAGAGCCCAAACCAACAAGCUUGCUUGUUGGGGUUGUAGGACACUCUAUACGGAGUUACAAAGGACGACAUUAGACGAAUCAUCUGGAAAGAUGAAUCAAAGAAGGUAAUAAUCCUGUAGUCGAAAAUGUUGUCUCUCUUGAGUGGAUCCUGAGUACGACGGAGCACGUGAAAUUCCGUCGGAAUC